GCCAAGUUAGCCAACGAUUAUAAUCUGUACAGCAUACGAAAGCAAUUGUUGUUUUGCUUGACGGUUUCACAUGGGAUUUCAGAGACAUGUUCUAUAUAUAUAAAGUUAAAUUUGAGUUCUGCUGCAACAAAUUAACACAUAAUUUCUUUAUUUCUUCAGUAUCUGAAAUAUCAACUCCCUCUCUCAUCCCUUGAUAUCCUUAGAUUUUGAUUUUGAUUUUCAUUUUUAUUGCUUUCCUUUUCUCAUAUAUAAUCAUGCAAUUCUAAUCAAACCCACAUAUUAUGAUGUAUGCCAUAGAGACUCGUGCCAUUAAGUCAUUUUGACUGAAGGGAAUGGAAUAGUGCCUGUUUAAUCUCAACUCUCGAGCGCUAGUUUUGUCCUUGCUCAGGAAUGGUUGCAGAGUUUGUUCUGAGAUCACCUGUUUAACCUUCCAUGGUUUGAGCUUUAGCAAACCCAGAACAUGAAUGAACGUGAAUAAAGAAGAGAGGACAGGAAGUAGUAAAAUAAAUCUUUCUGUGCAUAUUUUGUAGUCUCAGAAAGCGAUAAUAUGAGCAUGGAUACAAAAAAAUCCGUUGGAAACCUUGCAGCAACUCUUCAUGCUCUACUGGGUCUAAAGGCACAUCUAACUCCCAACUGGGUCAAAUCAGUUUGUGAUAUAAUAAAAACCCUGCCUUCUGAGUUUGAUGCCAAAGUAGAUGAUGAUGAUUCUGGGAAUGCCAUUUCAAAAAUAAAAGAUGAACUUGAUGCCUUAACUAGCCGUAUAAACCAGCUCAGCAUAGAGAGAAGGCAGCUCCUAAAUCAUUAUCUGGACUUGAAAGGGAACAUUCGUGUAUUUUGUCGCGUAAGACCUAUCACGCUGGGGGAGAAUUUUGGUCGGUUAAGACCUGCAGUGGCUGUGGAUUCAAAUAAUGUUCUUUUAAAACUUGCUGCUAAUAAGAGUAAGAAUUACAGUUUUGAUAGAGUUUUCCACCCAGGUUCAUCACAAGAUGAAGUUUUCUCAGAAGUUGAACCAGUCAUCAAAUCUGUUCUUGAUGGUUACAAUGCUUGCAUUUUUGCUUACGGGCAGACUGGUACAGGAAAAACUUUCACAAUGGAAGGUAAACCAAAUGCUCCUGGGGUAGUUCCUCGCACAUUCCAGGCGCUAUUCAAGCAAGCAGUUGACAGUAACCAUUCAUUUCUUAUCAGAUUCAGUAUGCUUGAGAUUUACAUGGGAAACCUCAAGGACUUGCUGGUCCCCAAGCCAAUAAAAGCUACAGAUCCUAUGUCUCCUUGGUAAGUAAGUUGGUUGUUUGGAUGUAGACUCAUAUACGUCCAUGAGGCUUGGCUACAUCGUUAUAUUCUUGUACGAUCAACAUAAAUUGUUCUGAAACCAAAGUUCAUGGCUAUCCAGCUACACUGUUUUAUCAACAAAGAGAGAGAAGCAGCUAGUUGAAAGUUUUCACACUGAAAGAGGAGCUGAAAUAGUGUGCUACGUGAUCAUAAGAUUCCUGUUUGAGAUUGCAGAGAAGGUUGCUUUAGCAAAACUGCAAUCGCAGCCACAAAUGCAAUUUUGAUCAUGAGAUUCCUGUUUGAGAAUGCAGAGAAGGCUCGUAGAAAGCUUAGACCUAAACACAAUUCAAUAGAGAAACAAGCUCAUUGCAGCUGACUUUGACUGGCUUAGAAUUGAUGUUUAGUUGAAUUAAACAUGUAGAACAGUACUUUUUUCUAGAGCCAACACAUAACCAUCAUCUUAUCAUAUGCCUCUAGAUGAGACAUUUACCACCAAACUCAUACCAAAAAGUUCCAUAGUUUUCAAGUUCCUGGGUUCUAAGAUAUUAAAUUACCAUUAUGAACAGAGACAGUUGAUUGGCAAUCAAUAACCUUUUCAUUGCUUUUUAAUAUACAUGCAUUACAACAAUCCUCUAUAAGAUAAUCUAGUAUCUCUAUGAACAGCCUUUCAAUUCAAACAGACCCAGAGGGAGGAAUUGAAAUUGACAACCUUGUAUCAAUUCAAGUAAAUGACUUCCACCAAGCUUUGAGGCUGUACAGAUUAGGAUGCCGUUUCAGAUCAACUGCCUCAACAAACUCCAACAUAUCUUCAAGCCGAUCUCAUUGCAUGAUCCGCAUAGCAAUAACUUGCUUUGAUGCUCCUGAGAGGCGCCGGGAAACAAACAAAAUUUGGUUAGUGGACCUUGGAGGAAGUGAGCGUGUGUUGAAGACAAAGGCAUGGGGCAAAAGACUUGACGAAGGAAAAGCUAUUAAUUUGUCACUCUCUGCUCUUGGAGAUGUAAUUAAUGCCCUCCAAUUGAAAAAGCGUCAUAUACCUUACAGGAAUAGCAAGCUGACACAAGUUCUUAAAGAUUCUCUAGGUGAUGAUUCAAAAACACUAAUGCUAGUCCAUGUCAGUCCCAAAGAAGAAGAUUUAUGUGAGACCAUAUGUUCCUUAAAUUUCGCAUCAAGGGCGAAAAACAUUCACCUAGGAAAUGAGGAUACAAUAGUAAGUAAGCACAGUACUGUAUUUAAGAUUGUGUUGAUUAGUUUGCAUAUUUUGUAUCACAAAUAUUAAGCCCGAGAAAUUAAAGAUCGAUUGUUAAUUAGAUCCAGCUAUUUGUUAUUUGAGAAAGGCAUAAAUCUUUUUAACAAAGUACAUUUUUAUGUUGAUGUGCUACUACAUAUAUCAAGUAAAACAUAUUAUGGGUUAAAGAUGAAAAUGAAUGACAAAUUGCUUUGUUAUAAAAAUGAUGUUUUAGUUGCAAAAGAAGACAGAUUAGCCAUUAUGAAUAAGAUAAUAACCAAAAAGGUGAACUUUUGAAAUCAGGAAGUAAGAGAGCAGAAGGAAGUAGCAAUGGCAAAUCUGCAGAGAAAGAUGAUAGAGACUGAACAUGAGCGGUUGAACGUUAGACAAGAAAUUGAGAAAUUAAAAAAGAGAUUAGAAAAUCUCAGAGGAAAAAGUUUAUAUUCUGAGGAGCAACUUGAGGAAUAUAAUUUUAUUGAAGAACCACUUACAAAGAACAAUGUUGGAGACCAAAUAGUUGAUCCCUUGUCAAAGGUACCGGGAUUUAUGAGGCCAACCGUUUGCAGCCAAAGAAAAUCUGGGACAAAUUAUCAAGCUUCAGAAUGGAAAGUCCCAGUCCCUGGAAGAAGGAAAAGGCCAUCAUCUCAUUGUGCUGAGUCUGUGACUUUUCCCGUGAAGGAUCAUUCAGAUUACAAAUCAGAACUCAGUGUUUCCAAAUCUAGCUGUUUGGUGGGAUUAGACAUGAAAAACAGUGCUGAUAAUGCAACAGAAUACAGCCAAGACACUCUUGAAACUGAUGUUGAAAUGACUGAUAUCCGACGGCAAGAAAAAGCACCUUGUUCAGCUAGUCAAAUGAAUGACAUUGGUCACAUUCAGAAAAUUACAGAUAGACAGAAAAGCAUGACUAAUGAUUACAUCAAAUUUUCUAAGGUUGACAAUUGGCUUGACCUACAAAAGAAUGAAACCAAUAUGAGUGGUUAUACUCAUAGGACUAAGCGGGUUUUAGCUAUUCCUAACUCCAAGAAGAAACAUCAGCAUAACGAGCAGAGCAAAGACAAUGUGGCUUUUGAUGAAAAAAUACAUAGUUUUCAUGAUUAUAGAAUGCCAAACAUCCACAGUGAAAAAGAUAAAAUGGUUACUGUCAGGGGCGUUGGAAUGAUUACAUCAGAAGUGGCAGUUGACAAACCACUAACAAAUUUCCAGGAUUUAUUCAAUGAGGACUCAAGAUCUCAUUUCAGUUCAAAAUCUCAGACAACUGAAGGAAAAGGAAUGAUACAAACACAAGAUUUUGUAGAUGACUCAUCAACAGAAGAUGACAAAUGGAGCACUUUUUCUCCAGAUGACGUGUAUUAUCAUAGACUAGGUGACUAUAAGGAUCAUAGUGGAGCCAAUGCACUGUCUAUCAAGCAGACAGUAGAAGGCGAAAAUGAAAUUUCAGACACUUUCCAGUUAAAGAACCAUGGAAGAUCUGAUUUAGGUGGCACCAACAUUUACUCAAAAGGGGAUUCCAGUGACUCAACGUCCAUGUUAGAACUUGAAUCAUGCUGUCCACAAUUAUCCACUGAAUCAGUUAUAGAAGACGGUGAAAGGCAAGACUCAGAUUUCUCUAUUCAACCCUCAACAAAAGAAAGAAGAUGUGACAUACUCCAACUGAGAUCUCAAAGAGCAUUAUUUGAGGACUAUUCAAACCAGAACGAUUUAACAAAGCAAUUUGAUAAAUUUCAAGGAGAAACACAGAAGACAGGUAAAAACUUUUGGGUCAACUAGACAUUUGCCUAUUUUUUGACCAAGUUCAUUGUUUCUGAAGUAAUGUUCCCAUAAGCUCUUAGCCACCUCCCUCCCCCAAAAAGGUAAAGAGGACAAAAGAAAGAAAAUUCACUUUAAGCUAACUUGCACAAAUAUUAGAAAACUGCAGGAAAAAAACUUACAUCUGUGGUUAUCCAACUUUAGCAAGGAUGUAGUUCAUCUUACAAAAUUAUUGAACUGUUUUUGACCAGGAAUAUGCCGUAUUCUGAAACAGAAAAUCGAGAUUUUAUGUAUCGGUGCUCUUCUAGGAUCGGGGUUUUGUAAUCUGGGAUAUGAGCAUGAGUUCUUCUAUGGGUUAAUGCUUUGAAGCAACACCAGUGGAUGAAAGCGUUAGCAAUUUCUUGAAUGGUGGAGACAGGAGUGGAGGUGAGAUGCAAAUGGAACAUCACAAAAGCUCAUGUUGUAGCCUUAUGUCGUAUUUGCUAGAUGCAAGCUUAAUCCUGUUUAAACAAUGCUAUGUGCAUGCAUACUUGUGCAAUAAAGCAGGUAUAAACGGUUUUUAUGGCUUUAUCUAAAUGUUGUAUAUACUGAAAUUAUAUACCUACUUCCAUAGCAGGAAAGUUCUUAUUCAAGUUCUGGCCCAGCUUCCAUGCCUAGAAUAUCCAUCCAAAGAAACAAGAGGACGCAAAAUUAAAGAUGUUCAUCAGAUAGACUAGACAACUAUUGGUCUAUGUACAUAAAUUUGUAUGUUUAAAUGCAAAUAUGGAACAGUUCACCUAGUUUUACCAUCCCUGUAGGGAUAUACAAAAGCCGUCUUGCAUGCAAAAACCUUACGUUGUUCCUGUCUAUUUAUAAAUAUUUUUAAAUUAUAUCAUGGAAAUUUUGUAAUAUUCUCAUAAAUUAGUUAUUUUUGAAAGAAAGAGGUGCACACCAAUCCUCACUUUCAAAAUUCUCUACAACACUUGAUGAUUCAACAUUUUGACUAAGAGGAUGUUUUCAAUCAGUCAUUGUUCAGAAUCUUCAGUGUCUAACAAAUUCUUCAAGGCUUCAGAUUUCACUUACCUGCUACAAAUGAGAACUUCUCACUAUCCGAUAUUAUCAAAACUUUAGAUAUGUAUGGGUAAUCCGAAUAAAAUAUCACUUUUUCAUAUUGGCUAACCAAAAUUAAUUGAUAAUUUUUUGCUAUCCCUUAUUAACUAACACUUUGUUUGGUUAUCUCUCUGUGCACAGGAAAAGAGACGAAAUAAAAUGAAGGAAAAGAAGAGAAGAGAAAGGAAGUAAUAUUAAUUUUCCCUCAUGUUGAUUUAUAUUGAAGUUGAAUUUCCCUUGUUCAGUUAUCUGCAAGCAAAAGAAGAAAAUGUUCUUCUCUUCUUCAUUUCCCUUGGUUUCUCUCCAAGUUGGAGGAAAAUUUAUGGCUUUUAAAGGAAUUUGGGAAAAAAUUUACUUUCCUUUCUCCUUUGUUCUCUGUCCCUUUUAGCAUCCAAAAUUCCAAACAAAAAGAAAUGACUAAAACUUCAUUUCUCCUCUUCCUUUAAACAAACAAAGCAUAACAGAAUAAAGUAAUUUGAAUUGUUAUGCACAUGUCUUUUAAUUAUUAAAAAAUAUCUAAUCAAUAAAUAUAAAAGACCAAUAAGGAAUUAUGUAUUUCAGAAUUUGCUUAUUUUACAAGAGAAAAUAUGACUGGUCUCAUUAUUUUGGAUAACAGCAAUUCGUAAGUUUAAAGUACACAAAAGUUAUUUUUCAAAAUAUGAAAAAGAAGUUUCUGGACAUUAAUUCACCUUCUACAGGACAAAUAUCACCAUGAAAAACCAAAAAGACAAACCACUUCCCUUCUUACUUCUUGAAAGAUUCUAAAUAAAACUAUCAGCUUCUCACUACAAUAGAAGGUCCCAGUGAUCUAUGUUCCAGGUGGUUUUAUGGUUUACUCAAUCGUCUUUAUUUUAGUAUCUUUUUUUUCAGAAUUAUGGUCAUAUCUAUCUGUAGUUUGUCUUUUGUUUCUUCCUAUUUAAGAUUAGUUUAUUUGUAUACAGUGGUGUAUUGAUUGAUUAUAUUAUAAUUGAAUAACAUUAAAUUGUUAUUUUUUUGAAAUCUAAAGAUUAUGCAUUAGCUAUUUUCUAAAUUUAUAAUAUGAAUUAAUUGGCUUUUAAUUCCUAUAUUAUUUCAAAGCAUGCUUAAGUCAAAAACAGCCAUGUGAUACAUAUCCUCUC
rnacentral:misc_RNA from 1 species